UCCCUGAUGGUCUAGUGGUUAGGACUCUGCCCUUCCAUUGCAAAGGGCAUGGGUUCGAUCCCUGCUUGGGGAA
rnacentral:tRNA from 1 species